rnacentral:rRNA from 1 species
GACGUAGGGCGCGAGCGUUGUCCGGAUUUAUUGGGCGUAAAGAGCUCGUAGGCGGCUUGUCGCGUCGUGUGUGAAAUCUCAGGGCUCAACUCUGACAUUGCAUACGAUACGGGCAGGCUUGAGUUCGGUAGGGGAGACUGGAAUUCCUGGUGUAGCGGUGAAAUGCGCAGAUAUCAGGAGGAACACCGGUGGCGAAGGCGGAUCUCUGGGCCGAUACUGACGCUGAGGAGCGAAAGCGUGGGGAGCGAACAGG